rnacentral:rRNA from 1 species
UAAAACAUUGUCUCARGGGAAAAMAKGUAAGAUAUAUCUUGCCAGUGAUUUGUAUUUGUUAAACGGCUGCGUYACCCUAACCGUGCGAGGUAGCACAAUAAUUAGCCUCCUAUUAGAGGAUAGAAUGAAUGAAUCAACWAGAAAAUCCCUGUCUCCUUGGUAUAAAAGAAAAUUUAUAAUCGAGGGAAAAAGCCUGAACACAUAGCAAAGACAAGAAGUCCCUAAAAGCUUUUAAAUCUUAAAUUAACCYUARACCAAAGUAUUUUUUAGKUGGGGGGACAAUUAGACUCAAACCCUUCAAAAACAAAAGACUUUAUAAGUCCCUCCAUUUAGCUAAACACAUAUAAGUAAGCUACUUUAGGGAUAACAGGCUAAUACUUUCCAAGAGCACGCAUCACYCUAAGAGCUUGGCACCUCGAUGUUGGCUCACAAUACCUAWCUCCCGCAGAGGCAAGAUAAGGGGGUUUGUUCAACCUUUAAAUUUCUACCUGAGCUGAGUUAGACAUGAGAA